UCCGAGUUGUAAUUUGUAGAGGAUGCUUCGAGCAUAGUCUAGUCUAAGUUCCUUGGAACAGGACGUCAUAGAGGGUGAGANUCCCGUAUGUGACUGGGUGCCUAAGCUCAUGUGAAGCUCCUUCAACGAGUCGAGUUGUUUGGGAAUGCAGCUCAAAAUGGGUGGUAAAUUUCAUCUAAAGCUAAAUAUUGGCCAGAGACCGAUAGCGCACAAGUAGAGUGAUCGAAAGAUGAAAAGCACUUUGGAAAGAGAGUUAAACAGUACGUGAAAUUGUUGAAAGGGAAGCGCUUGCAACCAGACUUGUAUGCAGUUGAUCAUCUGAUGUUUUCACCAGUGCAUUUGAUUGUAUCCAGGCCAGCAUUGGUUUUGGUGGUUGGAUAAAGGCCUCGGGAAUGUAGCUUCUCUCGGGGAGUGUUAUAGCCCUUGGUGCAAUGUAGCCUACCAGGACCAAGGACCGCGCUUUGGCUAGGAUGCUGGCGUAAUGGUUGUAAGCGACC
rnacentral:rRNA from 1 species